UUGUUCUCUACCAGUUUCAGCAAGCACCCGUGCUCGUGAUGUGUGGAUGUCGUCCUGAGCGCAUCGAUGGGAGUGUUCCAGGGUCCAUUCUCGCACACGUUGGACGCCCUCGUUGAAGGGGCAGGAAUGCAGGUGCUGUUCGCUACCGGACGUGUAUCGCGCUGGACUCGCGCCAAACGACCCGACUUGUCAGCCGUUUCCAUUGCCGCCCUGUAAACGAGGAACCUCCGGUGAGACGCGUAAAUGCACUUCGUAAAGUCGCUCGAGUGCUUCGCGCUUGCUCACAAACACCAGCUGCAGCUCGCCAAGGAGCCCGCGCACCACACUACACAUGUGUCUCCGUGCAUCUCGUGGAUCUACGUGUAACGUACGCGCACGAUACCCAGUAGACGCGGGACGAGCAAGAACGGUCGGCUUCGGCGGCGGACGCUGCGUCGCUCUGGAGGGAUCAGCUCAGGGUCGCUCUCGCAGGUGUCUUGCCUGCGAGCGGCGGAGUCCCUCUUUAGUGAGUACCCGUGUAUCGGCGUAUCAGUUCUCUCCCGAGUGAGGUCUUGUCGAGUGCGAGAAACAUCCGUUCGUGGUGUAGCACAGGCUGGCCAUUCCGGCACGGAAUCCUCAGCAUAUGGAUCAAUGCGGGACGGUCUCGAGUAGAGGCAUGCGUUUCUCGUUGUCCAACCGCGUCUCUUCAUCAGCGUUUGCAUCAGCCAUGCGAAAGCUGUGCUUUCUUUGGUCUCUUCUAUGGUAUUUCUCGGAAACGUGUGUUAUGAAAUGAAUCGACGAGGAGGUAGUCGUUCAGCUAGAAAUUCAAAAAUUCUGUUUUCGGUGCUCGACAUUCAACAUAAGGCGUAGGCGGUGUGAUGCCCAUGGACCGUCUGCGUGCAGGACACUUGACUUGCAGAGGUAAACCCAUUUUCGGAAGCGAAAGCGGCAGAAUCAAGUCUUUCCGCGAACAUUCUCUAGUCGGCAGCACAUAUUUCUUUUAUUGCAUACUUGCGAGAAAAACUAGCGAAUAGGCGGGUUGGUACAAGUGCUCCAGAAUUCACUGCUCCAUGUGUAACCAAUUCUUUUCUGAUGACAAAACGUUUACAUCGACCAUGGAUCCGAGGAUUCGGAAAGUAUAAUGGCUUUCGGGAAAGCGUCCAUCAUGAAGCAUCUAGCUUCAAGUUCUAUCACCCAUACAUGCUCUCUGAUAUACUGGUCGUUUCGUAUGUUCUAUAGUGCGCCGACUAGCUGUUUUGAGCACCCGCCGUAGCGCUUAUAUACCGCUGAAGCAGGUGCUGCACGGAGACAGAACGGCUUUGGCAUACCGCUGAGGGCGUCGGCUCGAGGCGUGGUUCAUCGGACACGGAGUCGGAGUACUUAAUCAUUCUAGGAGCCUGGAAGCUGCGCGGAGAGACGCACUGCCUGCGGCGGCACGGUGCGAUAUACUGGGCGUCCACUGCGACCAGGGCGACGCCCAGACGCAGCAUACACGCUCCUAGUCCCAGAUUGAAUUGCAUUGCGGACGAGUAGCUCAGGUUUCUUUAAAGAACCCGCCAC